rnacentral:rRNA from 1 species
CCUACGGGUGGCAGCAGUGGGGAAUAUUGCACAAUGGGGGAAACCCUGAUGCAGCGACGCCGCGUGAGGGAGGAAGUAUUUCGGUAUGUAAACUUCUAUUAGCAGGGAAGAAAAGGACGGUACCUGACUAGGAAGCCCCGGCUAACUACGUGCCAGAAGCCGCGGUAAAACGUAGGGGGCAAGCGUUGUCCGGAUUUACUGGGUGUAAAGGGAGCGUAGACGGCUAAUCAAGUCAGAAGUGAAAACCCAGGGCUCAACCUUGGGAGUGCUUUUGAAACUGAGUAGCUAGAGUGCAGGAGAGGUAAGCGGAAUUCCUAGUGUAGCGGUGAAAUGCGUAGAUAUUAGGAGGAACACCAGUGGCGAAGGCGGCUUACUGGACUGUAACUGACGUUGAGGCUCGAAAGCGUGGGGAGCAAACAGGAUUAGAUACCCGGGUAGUC